rnacentral:rRNA from 1 species
GAUCAUGGCUCAGGACGAACGCUGGCGGCGUGCCUAACACAUGCAAGUCGAGCGAGGAGAUCCUUCGGGAUGAUCCUAGCGGCGGACGGGUGAGUAACACGUGGGCAACCUGCCUCAUAGAGAGGAAUAGCCUUCCGAAAGGGAGAUUAAUACCUCAUAACAUUGCAGUUUCGCAUGGAACAGCAAUUAAAGGAGCAAUCCACUAUGAGAUGGGCCCGCGGCGCAUUAGCUAGUUGGUGAGGUAACGGCUCACCAAGGCGACGAUGCGUAGCCGACCUGAGAGGGUGAUCGGCCACAUUGGGACUGAGACACGGCCCAGACUCCUACGGGAGGCAGCAGUGGGGAAUAUUGCACAAUGGGGGAAACCCUGAUGCAGCAACGCCGCGUGAGUGAUGACGGCCUUCGGGUUGUAAAGCUCUGUCUUCAGGGACGAUAAUGACGGUACCUGAGGAGGAAGCCACGGCUAACUACGUGCCAGCCGCGGC